rnacentral:rRNA from 1 species
AACGAACGCUGGCGGCAUGCCUAACACAUGCCAGUCGAACGAGACCUUCGGGUCUAGUGGCGCACGGGUGCGUAACGCGUGGGAACCUGCCCUUAGGUUCGGAAUAACUCCCCGAAAGGGGUGCUAAUACCGGAUAAUGUCUUCGGACCAAAGAUUUAUCGCCUUUGGAUGGGCCCGCGUUGGAUUAGCUAGUUGGUAGGGUAAAAGCCUACCAAGGCGACGAUCCAUAGCUGGUCUGAGAGGAUGAUCAGCCACACUGGGACUGAGACACGGCCCAGACUCCUACGGGAGGCAGCAAUGGGGAAUAUUGGACAAUGGGCGAAAGCCUGAUCCAGCAAUGCCGCGUGAGUGAUGAAGGCCUUAGGGUUGUAAAGCUCUUUUACCCGGGAUGAUAAUGACAGUACCGGGAGAAUAAGCGCCGGCUAACUCCGUG